AGAGUUUGAUCCUGGCUCAGGAUGAACGCCGGCGGUGUGCCUAAUACAUGCAAGUCGAACGCGUUGGCCCAAUUGAUUGAUGGUGCUUGCACCUGAUUGAUUUUGGUCGCCAACGAGUGGCGGACGGGUGAGUAACACGUAGGUAACCUGCCCAGAAGCGGGGGACAACAUUUGGAAACAGAUGCUAAUACCGCAUAACAGCGUUGUUCGCAUGAACAACGCUUAAAAGAUGGCUUCUCGCUAUCACUUCUGGAUGGACCUGCGGUGCAUUAGCUUGUUGGUGGGGUAAUGGCCUACCAAGGCGAUGAUGCAUAGCCGAGUUGAGAGACUGAUCGGCCACAAUGGGACUGAGACACGGCCCAUACUCCUACGGGAGGCAGCAGUAGGGAAUCUUCCACAAUGGGCGCAAGCCUGAUGGAGCAACACCGCGUGAGUGAAGAAGGGUUUCGGCUCGUAAAGCUCUGUUGUUAAAGAAGAACACGUAUGAGAGUAACUGUUCAUACGUUGACGGUAUUUAACCAGAAAGUCACGGCUAACUACGUGCCAGCAGCCGCGGUAAUACGUAGGUGGCAAGCGUUAUCCGGAUUUAUUGGGCGUAAAGAGAGUGCAGGCGGUUUUCUAAGUCUGAUGUGAAAGCCUUCGGCUUAACCGGAGAAGUGCAUCGGAAACUGGAUAACUUGAGUGCAGAAGAGGGUAGUGGAACUCCAUGUGUAGCGGUGGAAUGCGUAGAUAUAUGGAAGAACACCAGUGGCGAAGGCGGCUACCUGGUCUGCAACUGACGCUGAGACUCGAAAGCAUGGGUAGCGAACAGGAUUAGAUACCCUGGUAGUCCAUGCCGUAAACGAUGAGUGCUAGGUGUUGGAGGGUUUCCGCCCUUCAGUGCCGGAGCUAACGCAUUAAGCACUCCGCCUGGGGAGUACGACCGCAAGGUUGAAACUCAAAGGAAUUGACGGGGGCCCGCACAAGCGGUGGAGCAUGUGGUUUAAUUCGAAGCUACGCGAAGAACCUUACCAGGUCUUGACAUCUUGCGCCAACCCUAGAGAUAGGGCGUUUCCUUCGGGAACGCAAUGACAGGUGGUGCAUGGUCGUCGUCAGCUCGUGUCGUGAGAUGUUGGGUUAAGUCCCGCAACGAGCGCAACCCUUGUUACUAGUUGCCAGCAUUAAGUUGGGCACUCUAGUGAGACUGCCGGUGACAAACCGGAGGAAGGUGGGGACGACGUCAGAUCAUCAUGCCCCUUAUGACCUGGGCUACACACGUGCUACAAUGGACGGUACAACGAGUCGCGAACUCGCGAGGGCAAGCAAAUCUCUUAAAACCGUUCUCAGUUCGGACUGCAGGCUGCAACUCGCCUGCACGAAGUCGGAAUCGCUAGUAAUCGCGGAUCAGCAUGCCGCGGUGAAUACGUUCCCGGGCCUUGUACACACCGCCCGUCACACCAUGAGAGUUUGUAACACCCAAAGUCGGUGGGGUAACCUUUUAGGAGCCAGCCGCCUAAGGUGGGACAGAUGAUUAGGGUGAAGUCGUAACAAGGUAGCCGUAGGAGAACCUGCGGCUG
rnacentral:rRNA from 1 species